rnacentral:rRNA from 1 species
UACGGGAGGCAGCAGUGGGGAAUAUUGCACAAUGGGCGAAAGCCUGAUGCAGCUAUGCCGCGUGUAUGAAGAAGGCCUUAGGGUUGUAAAGUACUUUCAUCGGGGAGGAAAAAACAAAACUAAUAAUUUUAUUUCUUGACGUUACCCGAAAAAGAAGCACCGGCUAACUCCGUGCCAGCAGCCGCGGUAAUGCGGAGGGUGCUAGCGUUAAUCAGAAUUACUGGGCGUAAAGAGCACGUAGGUGGUUUUUUUAAGUCAGAUGUGAAAUCCCUGGGCUUAACCUAGGAACUGCAUUUUGAAACUGAAAUACUAGAGUAUCGUAGAGGGAGGUAGAAUUCUAGGUGUAGCGGUGAAAUGCGUAGAUAUCUGGAGGAAUACCUGUGGCGAAAGCGGCCUCCUAAACGAAUACUGACACUGAGGUGCGAAAGCGUGGGGAGCAAAACAGGGAUUAGAUACC